AAUGAAAAUACCCGUGUUUUUGCUUUCAUAUGACUAUCACGAAAACUAUCAGUACUGAGUCUUUGGUUUCGCUUAAGUCGUCUAUAUAAACAGAAUUGGAUUUGGAAAAGCACCCGGUCCACGAAAGCUCAGGAUUUCUGAAUUAAACGCAUUCGUCAGGGAUGGCCUGCACUGCUGUAGUGAAACUCGAAACGUAAAUCCGGAAGCUUAAUUUAAUGCUGACGGGCCGUGACGGCUGACCAGAAAAAAAGCUAAACAUGUUCGUCGUUCACAGCACUGGGAGCAGUGGAAUCCACCGAGCCGAAAAACUGCCAUGUCUAUUGCACUCUGGAGUUUCAGAGUGUUAAGCAAAUGAUAUUCAACACUCACCUGGUACAAGCAUCGAAACGAAAAUUCCCGCUGACAAAUGAUGGCAUUAUGGCAACCCUGUACCAAAACCCGCGCCCACGCCGCCAUAUCCCGGUUCGUCUCCGAUCGCAACCAAUGGC